UGUUUUGAUUAUAUGUUUGAUCGCUGCAGUCUGCUGACCUCGGCGUUCAGUUUGGUUGGAGGACGGAGCUCCGCCGUCAAUCGCCGUGAUGGGAUUUAGUGUGUGGCUGCAUGUCGCGCCUGCACAGGGAAAGAUUCAAAAAGAUUAAGACUUAUUUCAGGAUUUAUUCCCUUAAUUGUAACAUCAACAGACAUCUUCAGCAGCCAGGGUUCUAAAUAAGUUAAAUUGGAGUUGCAAAGAUGGAAGAAACCUCAGGAGGAGACACUGAGGACGCCAGGACAGACAGACAUGCAAUAUAUGCCGCAAUGAACAGUGUGUGGAUCCAGAGGGACGACUGCAUCAAGGCAUCGCCAAGUGGUGCCACAUGACCUCCACGCCAUGGUGACCUGGAAGAGGGCAGGCCACACAAGAUAAUUAGCAGUAAACGAAAGAAGACAUCAUGAUUAAGAGGCAUCACAUUUCACAGAAUUACCCUAGUCCAAGUCCUCAUACAUCCUGAUCAGUGCCGUCCAGCAGGCGCAGAGCCCAUCUAAUGAACAUGAACUCUCGUUGGCAGCCACAGAGAAGGCCUUCCCUCCUGGAUUUCAUCAACACUUCAGACCCCAUUGAUGGGAGAACAGUGGCCAUGGACAAAAGCUGUAUAUACUGUACAAACACAGCUCUGAGCGGCAGCACACUGACUCAUUCUUCAGCUUGUGUGAGAACGGAGGGGGACCCCUUUCAGCUCCUUUGUGUUGGUGUCUGUCAACAGUGUAGUUGGAGGCAGAGCCCAUUGUGGCGGCCAGUGUUUCGUAUUGACACAGGGCCUCGCUCAGCUUGUUCCCAGGGUCCAACCUGAGGACUCAUGAAUAAUGGAGAGAGGAUCCUCAGGGCCAAGGGGGAGUUCGCAAGUCUGACUGGGCUCGUUAUGAGCCUAAACUACGUCUUUAUGUAUGUAUGGCGGCAGGUAAAACUGUGGUCAAGCAUCCACUGUGGAACUUUGCUGCAAAGUGAGAACCUGGCAGAUGAUUCGGUGCCUCAUGAUUAACACAAAAUAAAAAAGGGAGCUACACAUUUAA